UUCAAUAAAAACUGAUUGGGGCUCAUUUGUUUAAUUUAGUACCCUUUAUUUCCAAAGAAACGACGUUGAAACAUCAAAUAAGAGCACAAUACUACCCGAAGCACACCCGAGGCCACCGGGACUCUGUCUACACAUACAAAUAAGUCAUAUAACCUAAAACGGACUCUCUCAAGGUCUCAAAUAAUAUCAAACAAUGCCAAAGUGAUGAAUCACACCACGAAUCAAGUUUUGAACUUCCAAAUAUUCCAACUUUAAAAACUUGUGUCGAAACCGAUCAAAUCAACCCGGAAUGACGCUAAAUUUUGUAGACAAGUCCAAAAUGAUAUAACGGAACUGUUUCAACUCUCAAAAUUACAUUCCAACCCCGAUAUCAUAAAAGUAAACUAUGGAUCAAACUUCUCCAUUUUCAAAACUUAAAUUUUUCCAACAUUCGUCGAAACGCCUUAAAUUACCAUAUGGACCUCCAAAUUUGAAUCUGGACGCACGCCUAAGUCCAAUAUAACCAUACAAAUCUGUUGAGAUCACUCAAAACCUAUUUCGGGGCCAUUUACUUAAAGUCCAAUACCGAUCAAAUUCUUACCGUUUAAACUUCCAAAACUAGUUUCCUUCUUCCAAUUCGACUCUGAAUCAUCCGUUAACUGAAUUUAAUCAUGCACGUAAGUCGAUAUAUUAUGAAGUUGUUUAAGACCUUACACUGACGAACGGAUCUUAAAUUAUCAAAAUAAUCGGUCGGAUCGUUACACCUUUAUACCCACAGUGUUCACAUAUCAGACCGGGUUUCUUCCCUUUGAACAUUUGUCCUCCACCUACUAAUAUAGUCAAGGGAUCGUUAUUUGUCUCAAUCACUCCUAAUACUCUUUAACUUUCCUCUUGUACUGCAGCUGAAUAUGCUUGAUUUAUAGUAAGUACGGGCCUCCUCUGAAAAAUGUUGCUUCUUAUUUGGCUAUAGCUCUCAUUCAGUCCCAUAAGGAACUGCAAUAACCUCUGUCUCACCAAGUGAUCAACAUAUGGCAUUGAUUCCUCAUAAUUACACGAAGGCAAGGGUGCUAAUAUGUCCAAUUCAUCCCACAAUUCUUUCAUCUUUGAAAAAUAAGAGGUAAUUGAAUUUUUUACCUUGUCUAACUAUCGCAAUUUCUGCCCAGAGCUAAUAGAUCUCAGUCAAAUUGUCUUUGUCAAACCUCUCCUUGAAUUCAUCACAAACCUUCUUGCACUCGCAGCGUACAUAAUACUCGGUACCAAUUCGCUUGAUACUACUACUUAACCAUGAAAGUACCACUACAUUACACCUGUUCCAUUAUGCAGUCAACUCGCCUCUAUAUGAGCUCUCAAGGCAGCUUUCAUCCACAAACCCUAGCUUGUUCUUCACCAAGAGCGCGACCUCCAUCGCCCUACUUCACAGCGCCAGUUUUCUGGCCCUAUGAGCUUUAGCGAUAUCAGUGUUGUUCCAGGCAUAUUAAAAUCUCGAAGGAAAAGCGGAUGAUUAUGCGGUAAUUGAUCGACCUCGUUGUCCACCAUUGUUGAGCUUCAAUUUCAAGAGCAAGCUUCAUAUCUACACAAUUACAGUGAUCGCAGCUCUGACACCAUAUCAAUUUACAAGAUUCUAGCUAUGAAACUGGUGAAAUUGACAGUGAAUUAUAGAGAGAGAAAGUUAGAGAGAAGGAGGAGAGAAAAUAAAGAUCUUCA
rnacentral:lncRNA from 1 species